rnacentral:rRNA from 1 species
AGUGAACGCUGGCGGUAGGCCUAACACAUGCAAGUCGAACGGCAGCACAGUAAGAGCCUGCUCUUACGGGUGGCGAGUGGCGGACGGGUGAGGAAUACAUCGGAAUCUACUUUUUCGUGGGGGAUAACGGAGGGAAACUUACGCUAAUACCGCAUACGACCUACGGGUGAAAGCAGGGGAUCUUCGGACCUUGCGCGAUUGAAUGAGCCGAUGUCGGAUUAGCUAGUUGGCGGGGUAAAGGCCCACCAAGGCGACGAUCCGUAGCUGGUCUGAGAGGAUGAUCAGCCACACUGGAACUGAGACACGGUCCAGACUCCUACGGGAGGCAGCAGUGGGGAAUAUUGGACAAUGGGCGCAAGCCUGACCCAGCCAUACCGCGUGAGUGAAGAAGGCCUUCGGGUUGUAAAGCCCUUUUGUUGGGAAAGAACAGCAGCAUGUUAAUACCCCGCUGUUCUGACGGUACCCAAAGAAUAAGCACCGGCUAACUUCGUG